UGUUUAAUUAAAACAAAGCAUCAGGAAGGCACGUGGUGGGUUUUGACAUGACGUGAUUCUACCCGGUGCACUGAAAGUCGAGGUGAAGAAAUUCAAUGAAGCACAGGUAAAUGGCAGGAGUAACUAUAAGUCAUCCCCAAGCAUAUUGGUAUAUU
rnacentral:ncRNA from 1 species